rnacentral:rRNA from 1 species
GCAAGUCGAACGAUAAUGUUACUUCGGUAACAGGAAAGUGGCGCGCGGGUGAGUAACGCGUAGAGAUCUACCAAGCAGUGGGGAACAACUAUUGGAAACGAUAGCUAAAACCGCAUACGCCCUGAGGGGGAAAUAUUUAUAGCUGUUUGAUGAGUCUGCGUUAGAUUAGCUAGUUGGUGAGGUAAUGGCUCACCUAGGCAACGAUCUAUAGCUGGUUUUGAGGAUGACC